AACGCUGGCGGCAUGCCUUACACAUGCAAGUCGAACGGCAGCACGGGAGCAAUCCUGGUGGCGAGUGGCGAACGGGUGAGUAAUGUAUCGGAACGUACCUUUCAGUGGGGGAUAACGUAGCGAAAGUUACGCUAAUACCGCAUAUUCUGUGAGCAGGAAAGCAGGGGAUCGCAAGACCUUGCGCUGAUUGAGCGGCCGAUAUCAGAUUAGCUAGUUGGUGAGGUAAAGGCUCACCAAGGCGACGAUCUGUAGCGGGUCUGAGAGGAUGAUCCGCCACACUGGAACUGAGACACGGUCCAGACUCCUACGGGAGGCAGCAGUGGGGAAUUUUGGACAAUGGGCGCAAGCCUGAUCCAGCCAUGCCGCGUGAGUGAAGAAGGCCUUCGGGUUGUAAAGCUCUUUCAGCCGGGAAGAAAACGCAUGGGUUAAUACCCUGUGUGGAUGACGGUACCGGAAUAAGAAGCACCGGCUAACUACGUG
rnacentral:rRNA from 1 species